UUAGUCGUUGCUCAAACUGUUAGCCCAUGUAUAUGCAUACCGAUGUUAUUUGUUAAUUUUUUGUGUCCCUUUGCUGCGUUUGUGAGAUGAGUAAAUGGUGUGAAUAUUGAGUGAGUGAGCUGGAAACAGUGAGCCAGAUUUCUGCUUUUCCAGGCCCUUUUAUCAGUGCCAUCCGUCCAAUUGGCUAUUGAUCUUUGAUAUAUAUGAAAUGUAUUUUUAAACAAAUGCAUGUUUAUAUUUAUGAAUGAGUUGCGCCUUUCAAGUAUUUUAUACCUUCUGAUAAAAAGAGAUUUUUAAUUAAAAAGAUUUUGGAAUUU
rnacentral:misc_RNA from 1 species